rnacentral:rRNA from 1 species
UACGAAGGGGGGCUAGCGUUGCUCGGAAUCACUGGGCGUAAAGCGCACGUAGGCGGAUUGUUAAGUCAGGGGUGAAAUCCUGGAGCUCAACUCCAGAACUGCCUUUGAUACUGGCGAUCUUGAGUCCGGGAGAGGUGAGUGGAACUCCGAGUGUAGAGGUGAAAAUUCGUAGAUAUUCGCAAGAACACCAGUGGCGAAGGCGGCUCACUGGCCCGAUACUGACGCUGAGGCACGAAAGCGUGGGGAGCAAACAGG